rnacentral:sRNA from 2 species
CGGGAUCUGCCCGGCACGAGCCGUUCGAACAUCCCUGAGGCUAUAAGCAAUCCAAUGGGGUCUGUCCCUGCCCGGACCGUGGUCCGACGCACAUGGUCCCCACCUGACGUCGAGGCGUCAGAGGAUUUCUAGGCAACGACCCAAGGUGGACCCGUC